rnacentral:rRNA from 1 species
CAGCCGCCGCGGUAAUACGAAGGGGGCUAGCGUUGCUCGGAAUGACUGGGCGUAAAGGGCGCGUAGGCGGUUUAUACAGUCAGAUGUGAAAUUCCUGGGCUCAACCUGGGGACUGCAUUUGAUACGUAUGGACUUGAGUGGAGAAGAGGGUUGUGGAAUUUCCAGUGUAGAGGUGAAAUUCGUAGAUAUUGGAAAGAACACCGGUGGCGAAGGCGGCAACCUGGUCUUUAACUGACGCUGAGGCGCGAAAGCGUGGGGAGCAAACAGGAUUAGAUACCCGCGUAGUCCCUGUCUCUUAUAC